rnacentral:rRNA from 1 species
GAGAGGACGAUCAGCCACACUGGGAUUGAGAACGGCCCAGACUCCUACGGGGGGCAGCAGUGAGGAAUUUUCCGCAAUGGGGGCAACCCUGACGGAGCAACGCCGCGUGCAGGAGGACGCUUUUCGGAGUGUAAACUGCUUUUCUGUGGGAAGAGCAAGGACGGUACCACAGGAAGAAGCCCCGGCUAACUACGUGCCAGCAGCCGCGGUAAUACGUAGGGGGCGAGCGUUGUCCGGAGUUACUGGGCGUAAAGGGCAUGCAGGCGGUCGUACGCGUUUCGGGUGACAGCGGGUGGCUUAACUACCCGAGUGUUCGAAAGACGGUACGACUUGAGGGCUCGAGAGGGACACGGAAUUCCGGGUGGAGUGGUGAAAUGCGUAGAGAUCCGGAGGAACACCGAAGGCGAAGGCAGUGUCCUGGCGAGUGACUGACGCUGAGGUGCGAAAGCUAGGGGAGCGAACGGGAUUAGAUACCCCGGUAGUCCUAGCCGUAAACGAUGACCACCAGGUGUGGGAGGUAUCGACCCCUUCCGUGCCGGAGUUAACACACUAAGUGGUCCGCCUGGGGAGUACGGUCGCAAGAUUAAAACUCAAAGGAAUUGACG